GACUUCUGGGUGAGGAGCAGGAAGGACACGGGUGUGAAGCAAGGAGUGUGCUAAAGAUGCAGCAAAGAGACCUGUGUGGCCAGAGCCAAGAGAAGGAGGGAAAGAGUGAGAGAGAACAUUAGCGAGAGACAAGGCAGACCACCUCAGACCUGGCGGACCGUUGGGAGGCUCUGCUCUUACCCUGAGUGAACUGAACUGGGGAGCUAUGGCAGUGUCCGCAGCACACCAUGGCAUGUCCAACCUAGGUUUCAGAUUAGCCGGGGGCUGUGGCAGGGCAUGGAGUCCUAUGGCGGGAAUCCAGUAAGUGCAGAAGGGCAGGGAGGUUGGCGGCUUAGACCAGGUGGUGGCCGUGGAGAGAGUAAGCUUCCACGUGAGUUGUUGAGACUGGCUUCCUCAGGCUUUGCUGGUGGACUACAUGCAGGGUAUGAGAGGAAGAAAAAUCGGAGCUGGGAAAUUGCAACGAUGGAAAAGAGAAUCUAAAAUAAACCAAGUGCACUCACAAUCUAACGCUGGGUCACACGGGAGGAUGCCGCAGGGAUGGGACGGUGUACCGACGCAGCUCCGGAAAAAUAGAUUCAAUGCCCUAGAGAAAAAUGGAUCAGAGAAACUAAAGAUGUCUGAAGACCUGGGACCUGGCUACUCGGCCCUUCUGAAUGCCAUGGCGUAGUGUCCACUGUCCUGUGCCUAAAACCGUCCUGGAAAUGAGAGAGACACAGCAUGAACGGGGGAGGGGCAGAGAGAGAGGGAAACACAGAAUCGGA